rnacentral:lncRNA from 1 species
GCUCCUAUUGGAAGUGGUGUAUAUUCAGUGUGGAUAGUGCCUCCUUUGUCAACCUCCUCAUUUUUAGGUACCUGCAAAACAUUACAACUAUUAGAAUUGGUACCUGUAGUGUUGUCCUUUAGUGCAGCUUCUCUUCUUGACUUCUUAUGUCUGGCCCUCUUUUUAAUUCUAGUACUUUUCUCUUUAAGGCCCGUAUAAAAGAGUAUAUUCUCUUUGUCUCUCAUCAUGAUCCUUGCAUCAUGGACACUGAUAGACAUCUUGGAUGUGGCAAUGAAAGGUCUUCCAAGAAUUACUGGAAUUCUUUCUGCAUCUUCCAUGCUCAUGAUGAUAAAAUCAGCUAAGAAUUCUAACUGCUC